rnacentral:rRNA from 1 species
CCUACGGGGGGCAGCAGUGGGGAAUAUUGGACAAUGGGGGCAACCCUGAUCCAGCCAUGCCGCGUGUGUGAAGAAGGCCCUCGGGUUGUAAAGCACUUUCAGUGAGGAAGAACGCCUGGUGGUUAAUACCCAUCAGGAAAGACAUCACUCACAGAAGAAGCACCGGCUAACUCCGUGCCAGCAGCCGCGGUAAUACGGAGGGUGCGAGCGUUAAUCGGAAUUACUGGGCGUAAAGCGCGCGUAGGUGGCUUGAUAAGCCGGUUGUGAAAGCCCCGGGCUCAACCUGGGAACGGCAUCCGGAACUGUCAAGCUAGAGUGCAGGAGAGGAAGGUAGAAUUCCCGGUGUAGCGGUGAAAUGCGUAGAGAUCGGGAGGAAUACCAGUGGCGAAGGCGGCCUUCUGGACUGACACUGACACUGAGGUGCGAAAUCGUGGGUAGCAAACAGGAUUAGAUACCCCAGUAGUC